rnacentral:lncRNA from 1 species
UCGAGACAGAGUACCAUGCCCACGUUUAUGGAUGGUUUGGAGGGUAUCAGAUUCAGAGGACAUGAAUUUCCCCUCUUUAGUCGCCAUUUUUUUUUUAGAAUCAGUAAAAUGUCCAUUAAGAGAGCAUUCUCUCCUUAAUCACUCCAAUCUCAAGUGAGUUGGAUUAACCAGCAUGUUCCUCGAGUGACUCCCCCCUAUUUAAACUAGCUACCAUCCAAUAUGAUGAAAUAAGCUGAAACUAGUACAGUUUAACUCCUUCAGUUCAGAGGUAGGUAAAGCCAAGGGCCACGUAAAUAUGGGAUACUUGGUUAUGAUUAAUGCGAUGGAAUUAUUUGAUUUUGCCAGUGAAGAUAUAUCUAUGGAGGUUCUAUUCUUGUGGAUACUUACUGGUUUUAUUGGAAAAAAACCAGAGCUGGCAGUUGAUUGUCCCAAAAGAGAAAACACAAGAAUCAUGGCAUACAUAAGAAUCCAACAUGUUAAGCAGAACCUCCAUAGAGUCCUGCUUCGAUUUCAACAUUAAAACUCAUAUACUACCAGCCAUUUCAGUUCAUCACUUACAAGCAAUUAAGACAAGUAUAAAUAAGGAGCUCAGGAUAUGUAUGUUUUACCAGAUUCACCAUAGGCAGCAUCAGCAGGAGCAACCUUUGAGCCAAGGGCAGCAGCACCAAUGAGCCCAGUGAGUGCCAAUCUACGAGACACAACACCUUCAUCCUCUUCCUGUACUGCCUGCUUCUGUGCCCUGCAAACCAGCUGGGCGGGCUUGAGGUUAACCACUUGGCGCUGUGAUGACGAGGUUGAUCUGGCAGGAGUGGUUAGUGCAUGGUGGUGCAAGAAGCAUGCGGUGGAGGCCAUGUCUCUUUGCUUCACUACCUUAAAACCUUCAACUAGAAAAGGUCGACUGUUUCGUGUAUAAUAAACUAUCAAGCUCUGUUCGCUGGGCU